rnacentral:rRNA from 1 species
GUUUCCGUAGGUGAACCUGCGGAAGGAUCACUG